ACUGAACGCCCUCACAAUUCAUUCUUAUCAAUAACCCUUCUUCUUCACUUUCUCCUGAAGGGCUUCUACUUUGAAACCAUGGAGAAUGGUUUAAACCCAGUAGCCAUGCCCACAUUUCACAAGAAAGAAAGGAAAGCCCACAAAAAAUCUGAGCCCAAAAACGCUGUGCAUGAAUCAUUAGUGAGUUUCCGAAGAGGCAGGAGACCGGAGACGCACCGUAGAAGUAGAACAAGAAGAAAUAUAAGAGAAAUGAAGAUUCAAGAAAAGGAGGAUGAUGGGGUGAUGAUGAGUGGUAGCUGUCAAGAUGAUGAUGAUAAAGAAGAGGUGGAGAGAAAGAUUGUGGCAUUGCAGAGGAUAGUGCCUGG
rnacentral:misc_RNA from 1 species